rnacentral:lncRNA from 1 species
UAAUAGUGACCAUAGCUAAGAUGAUGAAACUUUACGAGUUUCAACGAUUGAAACUAUGAUUUGCUUGAACGAUAUUUUAAGGAUGAUAUUUGGUGAUUAAUGAUUUAUGAACUUACGAAAUUUCUCAUUUUGGAUAUAAUGAUUUGUUUAAAUGUUUGAAAGUAUGAUUUAGUGAACUGCUCUUGAAUGAACUAUAUGAUAUAUUGGAAAUGAUGGUUGAUCCAGUAAGGUAUGUGUGGUUAUACUUCCUGAGCUGUGGUUUACUCAUUCCUUUACUUUCAGUUUUGUAGAUGACUAGAGAUUAAGAGUUUUAGAGUUAUGGGAGCUAAGAGAACAAUUUUGGGAAGUCUAUGUCACGACCCGAUACUCC